AACGAGUUAGUAUAAUAAAUACUCCCGAUUUAGGAUCGGUAAAAAAGGUCUAAUUCCCUUACUCGUCA
rnacentral:tRNA from 1 species